UGUCUUACCAGUACUCACCUACGGGGCAGAAACCUGGAGGCUUACGAAAAGGGUUCUGCUGAAAUUGAGGACGACGCAACGAGCCAUGGAAAGAAGAAUGAUAGGUGUAACGUUAAGGGAUAAGAAAAGAGCAGAUUGGGUGAGGGAACAAACGCGGGUAAAUGAUAUCUUAGUUGAAAUCAAGAAAAAGAAAUGGGCAUGGGCCGGACAUGUAAUGAGGAGGGAAGAUAACCGAUGGUCAUUAAGGGUUACGGACUGGAUUCCAAGGGAAGGAAAGCGUAGUAGGGGGCGGCAGAAAGUUAGGUGGGCGGAUGACAUUAAGACGUUUGCAGGGACAACAUGGCCACAAUUAGUACAUGACCGGGGUAGUUGGAGAAGUAUGGGAGAGGCCUUUGCCCUGCAGUGGGCGUAACUAGGCUGAUGAUGAUGAUGAUGAUGAUGAUGAUGAUGACUCCAGACACUUCAGUAACUCAACUUGUGACUAAACUUAUGCUCUGAUAUCAUAUCUAUAAUGAAACGCACGAAUUUUGUACUGUACUAUGUUUUAUAUUUUGUUUAAUUUUUUUUUUUAUUUCCUCCACGGUCGUUCAGGAGGUGAACCGGAAGUGCUGCGCAAGAAACAAGAGUGUCACUCGAUGCUCGUGCCACUAAAAAAACAUAUGUUAGGUUGGGUCUUACAAUGGAGUGUAACAAGCGUGGCACAGUUUACAAGAGAGUCAUAUCGAUUUGACAACAUAUUAUAUUUGAACUCAUUUUCAGCAUGACUAUGAGACAUCAUAUCUAUAUUAAUGCCACCAGCAACGACCACUUUGUUAAAGCAACGAGACGUGUGCGAGAACCUUGUCGGGGUAACCCCGCCGUGGUUGCUCAGUGGCUAUGGUGUUGGGCUGCUGAGCACGAGGUCGCGGGAUCGAAUCCCGGCCACGGCGGCCGCAUUUCGAUGGGGGCGAAAUGCGAAAACACCCGUGUACUUAGAUUUAGGUGCACGUUAAAGAACCCCAGGUGGUCGAAAUUUCCGGAGCCCUCCACUACGGCGUGCCUCAUAAUCAAAAAGUGGUUUUGGCACGUAAAACCCCAUAUAUUAUUAUUAUUAUUUGUCGGGGUAAUCUAAAAAAAACAAAAAAAUAUUGCACUGUACCCGACGGAGGGCGACACACAACAGCCACAAUCGUGUUAUACUGCAUACUUCGCGCUUCACAAUCACUAGUGAUGUAACAACACUCCUUCAAUAGUUAUGUAUCGCAUAAUAUUCUUUAGUGAAACACCACCGGCCUUUUUACUUGUUCUAUACAAACCUCUUCAAAGCAAUAUACCAAGUUUCUGUGAAACACAAGACGUCAACUUGCAGUGUAAGUUCACCCAAAAGUAGUUCAAUAGUACCGGUCGGCAAUUCAUAUGUACUGCGAGCUUAGCUAACUGCCACGUCCGGCCAGUACGAGCCGUGCUCCUUUCUGUUUACAACCGCCGAGGCGCCAGCACUACCAUCGCCCGUUCCGGGAGCCAAGACUCAAAUGAUCGUAUCCGGUAACCUGAACCGAAGCAGGCCACAGAACGCAAGCCGGAACACCUGCAGCCGCCAAGCAGUACGCCAGCAGCAGCCGUGGUUGUGCAUUCUGAGCAAUGGCGUCAGCGAAAUGGCCGAGUUUAACCAUCGAUGGUUCUUUAGAAACUGUCGAGCGUCCGCGAAAGCGCAUCAGGACCUUUAUAAGGGACAGCGGUGCCUCUACCGAUCGUACUGCUUCUACAUCCAGCAAAUGUUCAGCGACGACCCAGGAAGAAACGUGCCCAAAACCACGUUGGAGACGACGCCGUUGUAGGAGCAUUUGACGGCGUCUCUAAUAAUGACAUCGGACUUAACGUUGCAAACGGCCCGAAACGUCUAGACAUCGAAGACUGCGAGACAAGGCGUCGCUUGAUUUUGGAUGUCUGGUCGUCACUAUUCAAUUCCCACUGAGAAAUGUCGAAAGCCUGGCUGCUAUAUUCAAAAUAUCAAGAAAGAGCCUUCUGUAAGGUCUGCGUUCUGUUCGGGCACGAAAGCUCGGGCAAGGGGAGCCAUCAAAAACUUGGUGCAUUAGUAUGCACUUCGCCAAUUUACUAGCUGGCAGAAUGCAUUAGAAACGUAUCAGAGCCACGACUGCGAGUACCACGAGGCGGCGGUGCUUUACGCAGCCAACUUUGUAAACGCUCUCGAAAGGAAUCAGUGGUCGAGUAGAUGGAGUCCGCUGUGCGUGCACAAUGACAGAUGAACCGGAAGAAGCUAUAGUGUCCAUCGUAGAAGCUGCGAUUUUCUGCAAAACGUAGGAUGGUACCUGUCAGGAGACAUCGCGACGCCGGGCCUGUUAGCUGUACCGGUUUUACGUCCCCCUUGAAAAUGACGGGAAACUGCUACACUUGAAGAUUCGCUGCGGAGGUGACGUACUGAAGGACCCCGUAGAGGCAGCACCAGGAAAUGUGACAUAUCUAAGCCCACAGAUGCAGAAUUAGGUACUAUAGCGGCGUGCGCCACCACGUGGUGCAAGAAACCAUGCAUCGUCGCCUGUGUCAACAGUACUUCGCCCUUCUUGCCGAUGAAACAACAGCCAUUUCAGGCACCGAGAAAAUGUCAGUGCACGCCAGGUGCCUUUUGAACGGUACUUUGCGUGAAGAUUUUCUGGCAUUCGUCAAGGUAAGGGACCUUUCUGGGAAAGGCCUCGCGUCUGCGCUACUGAAAUUCCUCAAGUGCCGAAGCGUAGACAUUGCCUACACGUGUGGGCAGGGAUGUGACGGGGCGGCAUACAUGUCUUGCCGCUUCAAUGGAGUUCAAGCUGUGAUGCAGCAGGAGCGCUCUGCGGCCUUAUUAUAUAUGUGCAGAUGUGCCAGUCAUCCUUUUAAAUGGACAGUAAAGAAAAAUAUGAUUUGA